GGGUUGUGAGGUUAAGCGACUAAGCGUACACGGUGGAUGCCCUGGCAGUCAGAGGCGAUGAAGGACGUGCUAAUCUGCGAUAAGCGUCGGUAAGGUGAUAUGAACCGUUAUAACCGGCGAUUUCCGAAUGGGGAAACCCAGUGUGAUUCGUCACACUAUCAUUAACUGAAUCCAUAGGUUAAUGAGGCGAACCGGGGGAACUGAAACAUCUAAGUACCCCGAGGAAAAGAAAUCAACCGAGAUUCCCCCAGUAGCGGCGAGCGAACGGGGAGCAGCCCAGAGCCUGAAUCAGUGUGUGUGUUAGUGGAAGCGUCUGGAAAGGCGCGCGAUACAGGGUGACAGCCCCGUACACAAAAAUGCACAUGCUGUGAGCUCGAUGAGUAGGGCGGGACACGUGGUAUCCUGUCUGAAUAUGGGGGGACCAUCCUCCAAGGCUAAAUACUCCUGACUGACCGAUAGUGAACCAGUACCGUGAGGGAAAGGCGAAAAGAACCCCGGCGAGGGGAGUGAAAAAGAACCUGAAACCGUGUACGUACAAGCAGUGGGAGCACGCUUAGGCGUGUGACUGCGUACCUUUUGUAUAAUGGGUCAGCGACUUAUAUUCUGUAGCAAGGUUAACCGAAUAGGGGAGCCGAAGGGAAACCGAGUCUUAACUGGGCGUUAAGUUGCAGGGUAUAGACCCGAAACCCGGUGAUCUAGCCAUGGGCAGGUUGAAGGUUGGGUAACACUAACUGGAGGACCGAACCGACUAAUGUUGAAAAAUUAGCGGAUGACUUGUGGCUGGGGGUGAAAGGCCAAUCAAACCGGGAGAUAGCUGGUUCUCCCCGAAAGCUAUUUAGGUAGCGCCUCGUGAAUUCAUCUCCGGGGGUAGAGCACUGUUUCGGCAAGGGGGUCAUCCCGACUUACCAACCCGAUGCAAACUACGAAUACCGGAGAAUGUUAUCACGGGAGACACACGGCGGGUGCUAACGUCCGUCGUGAAGAGGGAAACAACCCAGACCGCCAGCUAAGGUCCCAAAGUCAUGGUUAAGUGGGAAACGAUGUGGGAAGGCCCAGACAGCCAGGAUGUUGGCUUAGAAGCAGCCAUCAUUUAAAGAAAGCGUAAUAGCUCACUGGUCGAGUCGGCCUGCGCGGAAGAUGUAACGGGGCUAAACCAUGCACCGAAGCUGCGGCAGCGACGCUUAUGCGUUGUUGGGUAGGGGAGCGUUCUGUAAGCCUGCGAAGGUGUGCUGUGAGGCAUGCUGGAGGUAUCAGAAGUGCGAAUGCUGACAUAAGUAACGAUAAAGCGGGUGAAAAGCCCGCUCGCCGGAAGACCAAGGGUUCCUGUCCAACGUUAAUCGGGGCAGGGUGAGUCGACCCCUAAGGCGAGGCCGAAAGGCGUAGUCGAUGGGAAACAGGUUAAUAUUCCUGUACUUGGUGUUACUGCGAAGGGGGGACGGAGAAGGCUAUGUUGGCCGGGCGACGGUUGUCCCGGUUUAAGCGUGUAGGCUGGUUUUCCAGGCAAAUCCGGAAAAUCAAGGCUGAGGCGUGAUGACGAGGCACUACGGUGCUGAAGCAACAAAUGCCCUGCUUCCAGGAAAAGCCUCUAAGCAUCAGGUAACAUCAAAUCGUACCCCAAACCGACACAGGUGGUCAGGUAGAGAAUACCAAGGCGCUUGAGAGAACUCGGGUGAAGGAACUAGGCAAAAUGGUGCCGUAACUUCGGGAGAAGGCACGCUGAUAUGUAGGUGAAGUCCCUCGCGGAUGGAGCUGAAAUCAGUCGAAGAUACCAGCUGGCUGCAACUGUUUAUUAAAAACACAGCACUGUGCAAACACGAAAGUGGACGUAUACGGUGUGACGCCUGCCCGGUGCCGGAAGGUUAAUUGAUGGGGUUAGCGCAAGCGAAGCUCUUGAUCGAAGCCCCGGUAAACGGCGGCCGUAACUAUAACGGUCCUAAGGUAGCGAAAUUCCUUGUCGGGUAAGUUCCGACCUGCACGAAUGGCGUAAUGAUGGCCAGGCUGUCUCCACCCGAGACUCAGUGAAAUUGAACUCGCUGUGAAGAUGCAGUGUACCCGCGGCAAGACGGAAAGACCCCGUGAACCUUUACUAUAGCUUGACACUGAACAUUGAGCCUUGAUGUGUAGGAUAGGUGGGAGGCUUUGAAGUGUGGACGCCAGUCUGCAUGGAGCCGACCUUGAAAUACCACCCUUUAAUGUUUGAUGUUCUAACGUUGACCCGUAAUCCGGGUUGCGGACAGUGUCUGGUGGGUAGUUUGACUGGGGCGGUCUCCUCCUAAAGAGUAACGGAGGAGCACGAAGGUUGGCUAAUCCUGGUCGGACAUCAGGAGGUUAGUGCAAUGGCAUAAGCCAGCUUGACUGCGAGCGUGACGGCGCGAGCAGGUGCGAAAGCAGGUCAUAGUGAUCCGGUGGUUCUGAAUGGAAGGGCCAUCGCUCAACGGAUAAAAGGUACUCCGGGGAUAACAGGCUGAUACCGCCCAAGAGUUCAUAUCGACGGCGGUGUUUGGCACCUCGAUGUCGGCUCAUCACAUCCUGGGGCUGAAGUAGGUCCCAAGGGUAUGGCUGUUCGCCAUUUAAAGUGGUACGCGAGCUGGGUUUAGAACGUCGUGAGACAGUUCGGUCCCUAUCUGCCGUGGGCGCUGGAGAACUGAGGGGGGCUGCUCCUAGUACGAGAGGACCGGAGUGGACGCAUCACUGGUGUUCGGGUUGUCAUGCCAAUGGCACUGCCCGGUAGCUAAAUGCGGAAGAGAUAAGUGCUGAAAGCAUCUAAGCACGAAACUUGCCCCGAGAUGAGUUCUCCCUGACCCUUUAAGGGUCCUGAAGGAACGUUGAAGACGACGACGUUGAUAGGCCGGGUGUGUAAGCGCAGCGAUGCGUUGAGCUAACCGGUACUAAUGAACCGUGAGGCUUAACCUUACAACGCCGAAGGUGUUU
rnacentral:rRNA from 1 species